rnacentral:rRNA from 1 species
AGUGAACGCUGGCGGUAGGCCUAACACAUGCAAGUCGAACGGCAGCACAGUAAGAGCUUGCUCUUACGGGUGGCGAGUGGCGGACGGGUGAGGAAUACAUCGGAAUCUACUUUUUCGUGGGGGAUAACGUAGGGAAACUUACGCUAAUACCGCAUACGACCUACGGCUGAAAGCAGGGGAUCUUCGGACCUUGCGCGAUUGAAUGAGCCGAUGUCGGAUUAGCUAGUUGGGGGGGUAAAGGCCCACCAAGGCGACGAUCCGUAGCUGGUCUGAGAGGAUGAUCAGCCACACUGGAACUGAGACACGGUCCAGACUCCUACGGGAGGCAGCAGUGGGGAAUAUUGGACAAUGGGCGAAAGCCUGAUCCAGCCAUACCGCGUGGGUGAAGAAGGCCUUCGGGUUGUAAAGCCCUUUUGUUGGGAAAGAAAAGCAGCAGGUUAAUACCCCGCUGUUCUGACGGUACCCAAAGAAUAAGCACCGGCUAACUUCGUG